UUCUCGCCGUGCUGGAUGAGGGACGAUCGUGCUUCAGUAAAUCUUCCUGAAUUUGGGCGGGUUGUUGGAAAUCCUCGACGCACGACCCCCCUGAUCACUACUUUAAUGGACUAAAACAUCAUUUGUACUGUCUUCGUGUCCGGUUGGAGUCCUUUCGUGCAUGUUGAAGCUUCUAGCGCACAGAGUGUUGUGAUUGGUCUGUGAAAAUGUGUGCAAGAACGACAGGAAAGUACAAGGAAGACGUUUGUGGACCAAUAAAGGAAGAGGAGCCGCAACGUCAACUACUUGUCUGCAGCCUCGAAUUGUCCUACGCAGAGCAGGUGAAAAGAGUGAUAACCUAGGAUCUCCUGACUUUGUGCCCAGUAUUUUCUCAUUUAUAACAACACCAGUGAAGAACAGGAAACUGUCAGACCUUGAUAGAUACGCCUCCAGAAAGGCCCGUAAGAAAAAGCAACGGGAGAAUGAAGGUCGAGCCAUCACUGCCAAGUGUCUUCUUAACGUAUCAACAGCAGAUGCUUCAUCUUCUCCAAGUCAACCAGACGACUUGGGUGAAGGCUACGCAGAAGGUCAAGAUACCAAUGAAAUCGACGUCAGCUACACCAAAGCAAGUGAAAAUGCAAGUGCUACCGUCUCAGUAAGCAGUGCCCAGUAUCCAUCAACAUUAGACAAUGGUAGUGGGACAUUGGUUGCUGAUUCUAAGCAAUGAUGAAUUGCUUGCAUUGAAGAAACAGUGCCAGGUUCUACAAGCCGAAGUUCAUGCAUUGCGAGACCAAGUGAAUGAUCUUUCUCUAACGGAGAAAGCUUUAGAGGCGAAAGACAACAAGGUAAAGUUCUAUGCAAGACUUUCAUCAUUCGCAGUUCUGAAAGGACUAUUCUCGCAUAUUGAAACCCAUAUCGUGUCUCAAAGGACUGCUUAAGUUUCAGCUAUUUCUAAUGACUCUCACGAGGUUACAUUUAAAUUUAACAUUGCAAGAUCUUGCAUAUAGAUUUGGUGUCACUAUAUCAACAGUAUCAAGAAUAUUAAUGUGAUCAAUAUAUGUAAUGUGACUCUAGUGGCAAGCUUGGGGUUUUGGGCAGAGAGGGUACAACAACGAUUGACGGUUCCUGCAUAUUUUCAUCCAAAGUUUGCAAAGUGUGUAUUCAUUAUAGAUUGUUUUGAAAUUUUUAUUGAAAGGGCAUCUGGUCUUCGCGCAAGGGCACAGGCUUAUUCUUUAUACAAGAAUCAUUAUACCGUGAAGUACUUUAUUUCGGUGACACCCCAGGGAACAGUGUACUUUAUAUCAUCAGGAUGGGGAGGAGGCACCAGUAAUCAACAUAUCACCGAGAACUCUGGAUUUCUUUGUCAUAUUAAUUCUGGCGAUGUUAUACUCUCUGAUCACAGAUUCAACAUUCAAGACACUUGUACUUGGUAUAAUUCAACGAUUUAACAUCCUGCAUUUACAAAAGGUAAAAAGCAAUUGGACUCGAAAGACAUUGAAACAACUAGAGCCAUUGCCAAUGUGAGAAUACAUGUGGAGUGUGUUAUAGGUCUUGUGCACAACAGUUAUACUCUAUUCCAAGGGACAAUUCCGAUCCAGAUGCUCCAGCCAGAUUUAACACCACUUGAUAAAAUUGUUAGUUUGUUGUGCGCUUAUAAAUGCCAGUGAGGUUGUUGUACCAAUUAACUAAAUGUAUGUAAUUGUAUGGAUAAUCAACUAUAAUUUUACAUGCAUACAUUAAUAAUGUAUGUAUGUAUAAUUUUAAUUUGUUUUUUCUAGCCAGACAACAAUUGAGGAAUAUUGGUGCACAUAAUAAUUUUGUUCAAAUUUGUGUCCUGUGCAUUCCAUCUAUUUCUCUAAUCCAAGAAAAAGCAAUAUGAAUAAAGAUAUUGUUUGAAUUGA